rnacentral:rRNA from 1 species
GACGAACGCUGGCGGCGUGCUUAACACAUGCAAGUCGAACGGAAAGGCCCUGCUUGCAGGGUACUCGAGUGGGGAACGGGUGAGUAACACGUGGGUGAUCUGCCCUGCACUUCGGGAUAAGCCUGGGAAACUGGGUCUAUUACCGGAUAGGAGCCAUUCUGAGUGUGAUGGUUGGAAAGAUUUUUCGGUGUAGGAUGGGCUCGCGGCCUAUCAGCUUGUUGGUGGGGUAAUGGCCUACCAAGGCGGCGACGGGUAGCCGGCCUGAGAGGGUGGACGGCCACAUUGGGACUGAGAUACGGCCCAGACUCCUACGGGAGGCAGCAGUGGGGAAUAUUGCACAAUGGGCGCAAGCCUGAUGCAGCGACGCCGCGUGGGGGAUGACGGCCUUCGGGUUGUAAACUCCUUUCGCUAGGGACGAAGCUUUUUGUGACGGUACCUAGAUAAGAAGCACCGGCUAACUACGUG